ensembl:lncRNA
CCUACAAAAACUGAGAUUAUUAAUGCUAGAUUUUGCAUCUGAAGAAACAAAGCCAUGCAGAUUAUAAAUAUUGCACGUAUAACAACACUGGAAUCAGUAGAGUAACACACUACCUGUACUUCUGAGUGUUCAGCAAAAAUUCUGAACCUACUAUAAAAUAAAAACAAUGCAGAAGGGAGGCAGGUGGAAAUAUUUAAAUCUCUCUCUUAAAUAAACAGGAAUGGAGAUAUUUGUAAAGAUUUUAAAUGGAAGUUAAUGUAUGUGAACAACAAUAUAAUGAAAUAUUGCCAACAGACAACCCAUUAAGAAUGAGAUAAGAACAUCAUCAUUAACUGAAGUGGGAGCAAGAUGAGGCUUUGAAGAUAACCCCAUACCAGUCUACUGAAACAAGGCCAAAAUUUGCAGGUACAGAAGACUUCCUGUGCGUGAAACCAUGAAUGCAACACAAUGAUCAAGAGCACGUGUUAUUAACCUUGCAGCAUAUUUAGUUUUCUUAUUGCCUUAGGUUGUAGAAGCCUUCCUGUCUGUGUUAUGCAGCAUUAAACACAAAAUUGCUGGUCUUCUUCAGGUGCUCUGAACAAGAAAGCUGUUGUUAGUAAUAGACAAGUUUUAAACAGCUCCAGGACCAAGACAGAGUAAUGUCCAGAUAAUGUCAUAAGCCUACAAUGAGUCUUACAUGGACCUUAAGGAUUAAUGCUGAGCUUGUAAUAUCUGAUGAUCUCUAGCAAGAACUGUCACAAUAGGUUGACUUGUGCCACAG